rnacentral:rRNA from 1 species
CAGUAGCCGCGGUAAUACGUAGGUGGCGAGCGUUGUCCGGAUUUAUUGGGCGUAAAGGGAGUGUAGGCGGUCUUUUAAGUCUGAUGUGAAAGCCCCCGGCUCAACCGGGGAGGGUCAUUGGAAACUGGGAAACUUGAGUGCAGAAGAGGAGAGUGGAAUUCCACGUGUAGCGGUGAAAUGCGUAGAGAUGUGGAGGAACACCAGUGGCGAAGGCGACUCUCUGGUCUGUAACUGACGCUGAGGAGCGAAAGCGUGGGGAGCGAACAGGAUUAGAUACCCCUGUAGUCCCUGUCUCUUAUAA